CUCAACUCCAUGUACCUGGUUCUUGCUCCCUGUGAUCUCCCAGUUUUCAAAGAUGGCAGCUUAUGAAGGCUUUUUUCCCACAUCUGAGUUCAUACCCUUGGAGCUGAGGACAGAAUACAUCUUUAAAUGAAGCCUGGAAGGCCCUGGACUCUUUAAAAGGAGAUGGUUUGAGAGCAUUAAUGCAGGGGCCACUAAAGCGGCUCUGCACRUUACUCCACCAUGCCUCACUUUGGAGCAUAUGAAAGGGGCCAGCGUGAUGCAGUGGGGAGAAACAGGGCCUCCUAAGUCAGCAGCAGAGAAUGAAUUAUUAAUGGGUAUAAAUCUCAAACAGAGGGAUGCAGCCGAUACCAACGUCCACUGGCAUAAGGGGCCACAGAGACCUGCACUGUCUCGAUGUAAACUGGUGGCUUCACACAGCUGUCAUCUGAGGACGUUGGAGAUCACUCCAGAGACGAGAGAGCUCAACAGAGAUCAUCAUCAUGUCUACGCCA